GGUGGUCACAGCGACAGGGAAACGCCCGGUAUCCAUCCCGAACCCGGAAGCUAAGCCUGACAGCGCCGAUGGUACUGC
rnacentral:rRNA from 1 species